ensembl:lncRNA
UGAAGGUGGAGGAGGAUCUAUGUCUCUGUGAUGCAGAGAGCUUACCACAGGAGACACCGAUAGGCACAAACACACAGGAUGUCACCCACGGCCUCCCUUUGUACCCCACGCCAACAGAGGAAGAGUUGACCCCCCCUUCAGUGUCAUCCCAUCCCUUGAACACACAGAGUCGCCCGUCUGAACCCUGCUGGUAUUGCCGGAGGUCUCUUGACUCAGAGUAUCGUCCUGAAACUACUGAACAGGAAGACUCGGGUCCUUUGUCACCGGUGCCCUCUAGUGACCAGAAAGUGAGCUACCAGACAGACCCUCGACCUCACUUUGGCGUGGCUUGUUCCUCCCACUCUACUUGUCACCCUCUGUGGGGCAGCGAGGGACCCUGCUGGGGGCCAAGGAGUCAGGACGUGCUCGACCAGACAGACACCUGCCCUCACUGUCAUUUGGGGUUGCCCCCCGACACACUGCGUUGGCAUGAGGCAAAGUGUCUGCAGUUUGAAGGGACGUGCUGCUGUCCCUGGUGCUAUAUCUCCUGUUUGGACACGUUUCGUAACCCCAGACUGCCCUGCAUUGUGCUCUGCUAGCUCGGCCUCAUCAACCAGAGCCAGGGCUAAAUCUUUCUGUCAGAUGAGCUGCUUACGGCCCUCCGGCACAAACAGCUUAACUCCUUCGGUAGCUGGCUGAGAUAUAAGGGCCUGGGAUACCUUUACAAAUCAUAGAUGACACAGACAAGGAACGUAUUCCACUAGGUGGAGGUGCUAUGAGAUUAGUGUUCAAA